AUAUCAAGUCAAUAAGUCAAUGUUUAAAACGCGUAACAUAAUUUUAUUCACACAUAAAAUGUUGUAUGACAAAAAGCACGAUGCCAAUUAAUUGUGUUUUUCUGUAAGUUGUAAACGUAUCCGUUAUAAUGGUUGAUUCGCUAUUCCCGCCGAAAUUGGACUACGGUUACAUUAAUAUGAUUGUAAUAUGAAUAUUAAUCAAUUAAUAUUAUAUCGGGUGUUAUCAACUUAACCACAUUGUUGUUUAUUGCUUCAGAAAAGCACAUAAAUGUAAGGGCUUUUUGGACAACUGUUCGGUAGAAAAGCGUUGAUAUCGUAGUUCAGUCAGUUUAAGUUAUCCGAGAGGUCUUACAGGCGCCACAGACACCUCUGUCAGAGUCAUUUGUAAAGAGGAGCAGCAUGGCAGCUGGAUGAGUGCGGUCAGUUAAUUAAUGCUGCUUGCUUAAUUUCGUGUUACUGAUUAAGUGUUUAUACUUAAAGUUAGAUGAUAUGUUGGUGUUUUAUGGCUCGCGAAUUUGCAAUAACUGCAUUUAUCAGGCAAUCACACGUUACGUCACACGCUUAUGCUUGUACCUGCGGUCGCUCGCGCUGUAUCCAUGAUUUAAAGAAGAAAAUAGACUCUUAACUCCCUUGUAAGAAAAAGUCAAGCAGUGUAAGUUUUUGAGCCCUUCAAAUUAAACAUAGUGAUGGUGAUCUUGUCAAUGCUGAGAUUUUAAUGCAUCAACAGCAAUUACAUCUGUCUGGAUCAGGAUUGAACAAGAAACAGACAACAAGAGUUGUCAGGUCAGAAACGUGAUGACACACAAACAUAAGAAACUUCACAGGCGGCAAUUUCUUUUUCCACCGGUGGGUGCUCAUCACAACCUCCAGCUUUACUUAGCAACCCCUGGUGCUCUGGAGCGCUCAAAAGCUUUGAAGAGGUGGAAAGCAGUGCAGUCACGUUUUCGUGUGAUUUUAGAUGCGAAUAUUAAAGUUAAAGGCAGAUCACCGUGCAACUUGGUGAAGUCAUGUGUCUUUCCAGAAGCCAAAAUCUGUACCCCUCAAAAAGACUUUAUUAAAUGCCAUGAUAGCCAAGAUGAGCCUGAAGAGGAGAUUUGGGAAGAUGCUGUUUCAUAAGUCUUUGCUUUGCCAGAUUAUCUGUGGUAGGGGUGUCUGCCAACGUGAUGCCUUGCUGGUCUGGUUUGAGUUUGAAGUCUCUCACAGACAGUCCAGAAGGUCUGGAGUCCAUCUUAGCUUUCAUUGAUGCUGUCAUCAUAUUUUAAGUGCAUAAGCCAGAAUGGAUGGGUGGUGGUGACCAUAAAAAGACUGUCAACUAAACCAACAACAAAAUUCAUAUUUGCAGUUAUAAAUAAAAUGACUUUUAAACAUGA